GACGAACGCUGGCGGCGUGCUUAACACAUGCAAGUCGAGCGAGCAGAUUCCCUUCGGGGACGAAGCUAGCGGCGGACGGGUGAGUAACACGUGGGCAACCUGCCUUAUAGAGGGGGAUAGCCUUCCGAAAGGAAGAUUAAUACCGCAUAACAUCAGAUUAUCGCAUGGUAGACUGAUCAAAGGAGCAAUCCGCUAUAAGAUGGGCCCGCGUCGCAUUAGCUAGUUGGUGAGGUAACGGCCCACCAAGGCGACGAUGCGUAGCCGACCUGAGAGGGUGAUCGGCCACAUUGGGACUGAGACACGGCCCAGACUCCUACGGGAGGCAGCAGUGGGGAAUAUUGCACAAUGGGGGAAACCCUGAUGCAGCAACGCCGCGUGAGUGAUGAAGGCCUUCGGGUUGUAAAGCUCUUUGAUCAGGGACGAUAAUGACGGUACCUGAAGAACAAGCCACGGCUAACUACGUGCCAGCCGCCGCAGUAACAC
rnacentral:rRNA from 1 species